rnacentral:Y_RNA from 1 species
GGUUGGUCCGAGUGCAGUGGUGUUUACAACUAAUUGAUCACAACCAGUUACAGAUUCCUUUGUUCCUUCUCCACUCUCACUGCCUCACUUGACCAGCCUUAA